rnacentral:rRNA from 1 species
GCGGCCGUAGCAAUACGGCAGCGGCAGACGGGUGAGUAACGCGUGGGAACGUACCUUUUGGUUCGGAACAACACAGGGAAACUUGUGCUAAUACCGGAUAAGCCCUUACGGGGAAAGAUUUAUCGCCGAAAGAUCGGCCCGCGUCUGAUUAGCUAGUUGGUGAGGUAACGGCUCACCAAGGCGACGAUCAGUAGCUGGUCUGAGAGGAUGAUCAGCCACAUUGGGACUGAGACACGGCCCAAACUCCUACGGGAGGCAGCAGUGGGGAAUAUUGGACAAUGGGCGCAAGCCUGAUCCAGCCAUGCCGCGUGAGUGAUGAAGGCCCUAGGG